UGUCCCAGGGAACGAGUAAUUCUUUUGUGUCGUGCUGCAAGAGCACGUUUCUGCAUUCUGGGGAUGUGCCUUCACUGUGCUGCAGCAAAACCUGACCACAUUGCCCCACAGCAAAGUGACAAAAUACUGUGACCUUGAAGGAAAAACUCCCUGGAAGCAUGAGGAUCGAUGUGGCUGGCAUAGUUCACAGUGGGUGGGAGAGAGAAACCUUCUGAUUUCAUGAGUCACAAGACAAAACCCUCAGUUUUGCAGGAAUUAUAUUUUUUGUUGUUGAAAGUGGUUUCAUACUGGAACAGUGCAGCUAACAACCAACCCACAGAGAGAGAGUGACCUUCUGCACUGCAGGGACACUUUGAAGUGGUACAUUAAGGGUUGUAAACUUUAGUUGUAGAGCUCUUCUGAAUUUUAGUCCUUUUAAACAUAUUGGAUGAUCAGUACCUUAUGCCAUGAGGGAACAGCAAAGGACUCCUCAAAAAAGCAACACCAACAUGAACUACUGCCAAGAAUCUGAGACGUUUUCAAGGAUUCAAAGUGGUUUUGUAGCCUUGUUGAAGCAAAACCAAUUACAGCAGCAAAAUGAGUUAUAAUAGUUCCAACAAGACUGCGGACCAUGAGGAAACUAGGUACGUGUCCCCUGUGGAUGUAUAGACCCUCUGUAUAGCACCAGCACUGUUGCUCGUGGUUCUGCCUGGUACAUCUCUGCGCAU
rnacentral:lncRNA from 1 species